CUUCCGCGUUUCAUAAUACACGCAAUCCAGGGGCACCAAAAUCACAGCUUAUAUGAAAGUAAGGUCCAAAUGAUGCAUCAUACAAGUCAUGAUAUAUGUACCCACUUGAGACUCCACAAACAAUUAAACAAACAACCACACUGCUCGGUUAAGAAGAAGAAGAAGAAGAAGACAUCGCAAUCAGUUCAGGCUUCAGCUAUUAUUUAUAGCCAUAAGAUUACAAGUGGGUGAGAUGAUCUACUCGGUAACACGUACAGUGUCCAUCUCAUAUAGCAGCUUCAAUUUCAUCAGAAUUAACUGCCACUCCAUUUGGGGUAUCUUCUGAUCGAAGCUGAGCAGAAACAUCAUCAAUAGCAGAGUUCAGUUGUGCAAUCUUCUCAGUUAAUAUCUUUCGGGUU
rnacentral:misc_RNA from 1 species